rnacentral:lncRNA from 1 species
AUGAACUACAUUCAUGCAUACGGCUUCUGGAGUUUCUCUAACCAGGAAACCCAGCAGGAGUCACAACACAGAAAGAGGAGGAGGAGGAAGAAGAGAGAGAAACAGAAAACUAAAAACCCUGAAGGAUGGUUCUCAAAAAUUCUAAAGGAACCACAGGGAAUUCCUUUUAAGAGCAAGAGAAAGCCAGCCAGCUGAGAUGGCCGAGCCCGGAGGUGUUUGAUGAGCAGAUUGGGUCUUUAUCUCAGCACUGGAGAGCACGCAGACUUGCAGAGAGACAGUGGAGGUUUAGG